GACAACAUCUGGUCUGCUCAUGUUGCAAACUCACUCCUGUGCUUCACCUCUGACAGCUGCAAGUCACAACUCUGUUCCUCAGUCCAAGAUCAUCUACAGGGCAGCUCUUCCGAGCAAGAUCAGUUCAAACGCCCAGGCAAAGUUCACGUGUAACUCAGAAAGGAGCAGCAGGUGUCACUAUUGUGCUGAAAAAAGCUUUCGAGGCUUUACUGCCACCUCUUUUAUCGUAAA